AUACCUGCAGUGAGAAAAUGACAUCACUGGAGGCUGCUGAUUAUACGCUGCUGAUGGACGACCUCGUGGAACUGAAAAGAGGCUGGAGGAGGCAGAGGCGGCACCUCUUUUUGUUCAGCGACGUGUUGCUUGUGUCUAAUACCAAGUAUAAAAAAACUUUUAAAAUAAAGCACGAAAUACCACUGAGCAAGCUGUGGACGGCUGACUGCGCGAACAAAGCAGGGAAAGGCCACACUGGUGCCGGAAGGUCCUUUGUCUUGGGCUGGCCCUCAGAGAACUUCGUGGCCACCGUGCGGUACAUCAGUCUUGCCAAAGAAAAGGAGGAACCAAAGACCAUUCCCCUUCAGAUCCUCACUAAGGACGUCAAGAAGUAUUCUCAUGUAAGUGUGUUCA